rnacentral:tRNA from 1 species
GGCAAUGUAGCUCAGCAGUAGAGCCCUUGCCUGGUACAUGUGAGGCCCAGGGUUCAAUCCCUAGCACUGCUU